rnacentral:rRNA from 1 species
CAGUAGCCGCGGUAAUACGUAGGGUGCAAGCGUUAUCCGGAAUUAUUGGGCGUAAAGAGCUCGUAGGCGGUUUGUCGCGUCUGCUGUGAAAACUGGAGGCUCAACCUCCAGCCUGCAGUGGGUACGGGCAGACUAGAGUGCGGUAGGGGAGAUUGGAAUUCCUGGUGUAGCGGUGGAAUGCGCAGAUAUCAGGAGGAACACCGAUGGCGAAGGCAGAUCUCUGGGCCGUAACUGACGCUGAGGAGCGAAAGCGUGGGGAGCGAACAGGAUUAGAUACCCCCGUAGUCCCUGUCUCUUAUAC